rnacentral:rRNA from 1 species
AUCGUCUCGUUGGUGACCAGCGGAGGGUCAUUACCGAGUUUACAACUCCCAAACCCAAUGUGAACCAUACCAAACUGUUGCCUCGGCGGGGUCACGCCCCGGGUGCGUCGCAGCCCCGGAACCAGGCGCCCGCCGGAGGGACCAACCAAACUCUUUCUGUAGUCCCCUCGCGGACGUUAUUUCUUACAGCUCUGAGCAAAAAUUCAAAAUGAAUCAAAACUUUCAACAACGGAUCUCUUGGUUCUGGCAUCGAUGAAGAACGCAGCGAAAUGCGAUAAGUAAUGUGAAUUGCAGAAUUCAGUGAAUCAUCGAAUCUUUGAACGCACAUUGCGCCCGCCAGUAUUCUGGCGGGCAUGCCUGUCCGAGCGUCAUUUCAACCCUCGAACCCCUCCGGGGGGUCGGCGUUGGGGAUCGGGAACCCCUAAGACGGGAUCCCGGCCCCGAAAUACAGUGGCGGUCUCGCCGCAGCCUCUCCUGCGCAGUAGUUUGCACAACUCGCACCGGGAGCGCGGCGCGUCCACGUCCGUAAAACACCCAACUUCUGAAAUGUUGACCUCGGAUCAGGUAGGAAUACCCGCUGAACUUAAGCAUUAA